UGGCGGCGUGCUUAACACAUGCAAGUCGAGCGGUAAGGCCCUUCGGGGUACACGAGCGGCGAACGGGUGAGUAACACGUGGGUGAUCUGCCUCGCACUCUGGGAUAAGCCUGGGAAACUGGGUCUAAUACCGGAUAUGACCUUACAUCGCAUGGUGUUUGGUGGAAAGAUUUAUCGGUGCGAGAUGGGCCCGCGGCCUAUCAGCUUGUUGGUGGGGUAAUGGCCUACCAAGGCGACGACGGGUAGCCGGCCUGAGAGGGCGACCGGCCACACUGGGACUGAGACACGGCCCAGACUCCUACGGGAGGCAGCAGUGGGGAAUAUUGCACAAUGGGCGAAAGCCUGAUGCAGCGACGCCGCGUGAGGGAUGACGGCCUUCGGGUUGUAAACCUCUUUCGACAGGGACGAAGCGCAAGUGACGGUACCUGUAGAAGAAGCACCGGCCAACUACGUGCCAGCAGCCGCG
rnacentral:rRNA from 1 species